rnacentral:sRNA from 10 species
AAUAAUCACAACGAUUACUUAACGAGCACACUGCAGAAACCUCACAUAGUAGCGCUAAAAAUAGUGGGGUGGCGGGUCCAGCGGUAGCAUUUACAACGACGGACCAA